rnacentral:tRNA from 2 species
GGGGGUGUAGCUCAGUCGGUUAGAGCGCUGGCCUGUCAAGCCAGAGGUCGCGGGUUCGAGCCCCGUCACUCCCGCCA